rnacentral:rRNA from 1 species
GCCUGAUGCAGCCAUGCCGCGUGUGUGAAGAAGGCCUUCGGGUUGUAAAGCACUUUCAGUCAGGAGGAAAGGUUAGUAGUUAAUACCUGCUAGCUGUGACGUUACUGACAGAAGAAGCACCGGCUAACUCCGUGCCAGCAGCCGCGGUAAUACGGAGGGUGCGAGCGUUAAUCGGAAUUACUGGGCGUAAAGCGUACGCAGGCGGUUUGUUAAGCGAGAUGUGAAAGCCCCGGGCUCAACCUGGGAACUGCAUUUCGAACUGGCAAACUAGAGUGUGAUAGAGGGUGGUAGAAUUUCAGGUGUAGCGGUGAAAUGCGUAGAGAUCUGAAGGAAUACCGAUGGCGAAGGCAGCCACCUGGGUCAACACUGACGCUCAUGUACGAAAGCGUGGGGAGCAAACAGGAUUAGAUACCCUGGUAGUCCACGCCGUAAACGAUGUCUACUAGAAGCUCGGAACCUCGGUUCUGUUUUUCAAAGCUAACGCAUUAAGUAGACCGCCUGGGGAGUACGGCCGCAAGGUUAAAACUCAAAUGAAUUGACGGA